rnacentral:rRNA from 1 species
UACGUAGGGCGCAAGCGUUGUCCGGAAUUAUUGGGCGUAAAGAGCUCGUAGGCGGUCGGGUGCGUCCGCUGUGAAAACUCGGGGCUUAACCCCGAGCCUGCAGUGGAUACGGGCAGACUAGAGGUAGGUAGGGGAGAAUGGAAUUCCCGGUGUAGCGGUGAAAUGCGCAGAUAUCGGGAGGAACACCGGUGGCGAAGGCGGUUCUCUGGGCCUUACCUGACGCUGAGGAGCGAAAGCGUGGGGAGCAAACAGG